rnacentral:lncRNA from 1 species
AUAGGCAUGGUGCGCCUGGUUACAACUAAUGGCAAAUAUUGAUAUGUGAUUAUUGUCCCAGAGAUGAGUAAUCAGAGCUUCCUGACCCCAGGGACCGAGGCCACAAAGUUGAAGAUCCCAGGGCCACCCUUGGUAAGAGCUUUUGUGUCAUGUCAUAGCAGGACAGAAGGGCAGGUGAGCACUUAAGGGGCAGAGAGAAGCCGGCCAGACCACCCCCUCUCAUUAGACACCUCCGCCUGCUGUGGCUGUUAGCCCUCCAAGAGGUCAGAUUUCAGCAUGAGCUGCAGGGACAUUGAGAUAAUAGCAAUUAGUAGCCCAGGUUCAGUUUCCUAGGCUCCACUCAGCUCGGUUCUUGACAAGUGUGUAAUGGUGUACAUGUGCUUCACAGCAUAGCAGGGCACAGCCUCUCUGCCACCAGAUCCCUGCCUCUCCGUGUCCUCCUGCAGCCAUGGGCAGCUACUGACCUUCAAAUGUACCCAACGUCUGUCUCCGGACACGGCCUAGACGCAUGGUGUUUUUUCCAGGUGUUGUCUUCAAGGGCAGACUCGGAGGCCCGUCUUACUUUGACCCUGUAGCUGUGAUCAACAACUUGGGUUUAUUUAUCUUACAACUCUCAGGUCACUCCAUUACUGGGGGGAGGGGGAGUCAAGGCAGGAACUGAAGCAGAGGGGAGGGCAGAAUGCUGUUCACUGGCUGGCUUUUCAUGGCUGGCUCAGUCUGCUUUCCUAGAGCUCCCAGUACUACCUACCCAGGGGCAGCACUCCCCACAGUGGGCUAAGCCCUUCCAAUCAAUCUUUGACCAAGAAAAUACUACCAUAUGCUUGCUUGAUGCUAUGGCUUGGGCCAGUGUCCCUCAGAGCCUGCAUGUUAAAGCUUGUUCACCAAGCUCUGGAAGACCGUAGAACCUUUAAGCGGUGGGUGAGGCGUGACCACUGAGGGUGAGCUCCUGAAGGAGAGGCAAGUCCUUGGUCUUUUCCUCUUCCUCUCUCUGCUCUUUGGCUGCCAUGAAUGAACGAACAGCUUCCUCUGCUGUGCAACCCUGCUGUCAUGUGCUGUCUUCACAUAAGACUCAAACCCCUGGGACCGAGGAACCAAACCUGAGCUAUGAGCACAGACAAGCUUUUCCUCUUUAUGACGUGUGCGUUGUCUCUGGUGUUUGUUAUAGUAGUGGAAAGCUGACGAAUUCUUGACACCAAUGAGCUGUCCAUUCAGAUCUUACUUGCCUUUCUGUGUUUUAGAUUUAGUUUAUGUCCGUGGCUUUGUACUAUGUGCACACAGCUCAUCUAGAAGCCAGAAGAGGGCAUUGGAGUCUCUAGAACUGUAGUUAAGACUGCUUGCUGUGAGCCAUCAUGUGGGUGCUGGGACUUGAAUCUGGGUCCUCUGCAAGAACAGCCAGUGAGUGCUCUUAACUGUUGAGCCAGCAAUCCCACCCCCUUUACUCAUAUUUUAAAUUGAGCUAUUUGUUGUCUAUUUUUUGAGUUUUUAAGAGUUCUUUCUUUCUUUUUUUAAAGAUUUGUUUAUUAUUAUAGAUAAGUAAACUGUAGCUGACUUCAGAUGCACCAGAAGAGGGCAUCAGAUCUCAUUACAGGUGGUUGUGAGCAGCCAUAUGGUUGCUGGGAUUUGAACUCAGGACCUUCAGAAGAGUACUUGCUGAGCCAUCUUGCUAGCCCCAAGAGUUCUUUCUAUUUGAGGAUACGGGUCUUUUAUUGUUGUUUUAUUUUGUGUGUGAGAGUAUCUUGCCUACAUAUCUGUCUGUGCAUCACUGUGUUCAGUGCCCUUAGAAGCUGGAGAGGGUGUUGGAUUCUUUGGAACUAGAGUUACAGGUGGUUGUGAGCUACCAUGUAAGUGCUAGGAAUCAAACCUGGGUCCUCUUCAAGAGCAGCCAGUACUCUUAAAACGCUUGGACUUCUCUCCAACCCCAGAAUAUAGGUCUUUGUGUUUGAGUCUUGCGAAUAUUUUUCCCCAGUCUGUGGCUUGUCUUUCACUCUCUCAAAGGAUCAGGUUAUAAGCAAUGGGAUGUCUCAGUUGUGGAAACAUGGACAGAAGAAAUAGCCAGUGGGUGCACUUGCAACCACUGAAGGUCGAAUUUUCUAAGUGUGUUUC